rnacentral:rRNA from 1 species
CGCCCAAUAGCUAGCCCGCCCCCUAAAACCAACAUCCCCUAUUAAUACCCCCAAACACACUUAUUAACCUAAAACAAAACAUUCUUCCCCCCUAGUACGGGAGACGGAAA